UGCAUCUGUAGCUCAGUGGAUAGAGCACUGGCCUCCGACGCCAGGUGCCGCUAGUUCGAAUCUAGUCAGAUGCAUC
rnacentral:tRNA from 1 species